rnacentral:lncRNA from 1 species
UUCACUAGACUUCAAAGACCAACAACAAUACAAUGUUAACAAAAGAGAUAGAUAGAUAGUUUGACAUACAAUAUUCAAGAAUCUAAGAACCCUAACCACAUGUAAGGACCCUAAGAUUAAUGAAUGUUAACACCAAACUCUUAUGUUGACAAAAGAGGGAAUUUACCUCCCUAAUCACCAACGUAUCAAGCCAACUAUGCAACC